UACGGAGGGUGCAAGCGUUAUCCGGAUUUACUGGGUUUAAAGGGUGCGUAGGUGGAUAAUUAAGUCAGUGGUGAAAUCUUCAGGCUUAACCUGGAAACUGCCAUUGAUACUAUUUAUCUUGAAUACUUUGGAGGUAAGCGGAAUAUGUCAUGUAGCGGUGAAAUGCUUAGAUAUGACAUAGAACACCAAAUUGCGAAGGCAGCUUACUACACAGUAAUUGACACUGAGGCACGAAAGCGUGGGGAUCAAACAGG
rnacentral:rRNA from 1 species